UAGAGGCACCUUUUAAUGCCUCUUAGUUUUAGUUUUGUCAUUUCACUUUUGGUAGUGGUCGCUGAUUUUAGAUUGCCGCUCAAACAACAUCGCGCACGACUUUUCUCUCGCUCUUCUCCUUUCUUCUUCCUUUCCUCUUUUUUUCUCUCUCUCCUCUCAUGCCCUAUUGCACUGAACACCCACCUAUUGCAUUAAGAGAACACCCACCUGUACUUGAACUCGAAUGGGAGAAGACCUGCGUUGAUUUACCUGUACUGGAACUCGAAUGGGAACAAAUGGCGACGCACCUGUUCAGAUUGUCGUGAGUAUCCUUAAGCCCAUUGAUCUGGUUGGUUAUUUGUUCUCUAUCCCCUGUUAAUCUCUCUCACCCCCUCUUCUCUGUUCCACACCAUUGUUGGCCAUCUUCGCCCUCUCUCAUUCUGUUGUUGUAACUAAGCCACCACUGCAGCAUACCACGACAUCCAACCUCUCUCCCAUCUUCUUCUUGUGGUUGACUGAACCAAGAAGUGCUUUCUCAAUCGCCGGUGACCAGACUCAACCCGAAGGCAUCAAACUUGGAUGAGGAAGUCGGAUUGAAUGACGUUGAAGAAGCCGGAUUGGAUGACGAAGAAACCAACCUUCCCAACCACAAGAAUAAUAGCAAUAGAAACCCUAACGAGGUUAAUAACAAUGGUGUUGAUAAUGAUGUUGAUGCAAAUGACUCGGAAAAGAAGGGUUCGAGGCCUCGAAAACGAAGGAAGAGAGGUGUAGAGGAGAAUGUGUUGAAUUGCCGGGCCAACUCUGCCAUGCCGAAUAUUGUCGAAGAGACGGUGAGGAGUUGCCUCUCAGCGCUGUUUAAGGAGCUGCUGUAUUGCACAAUUAACGAACACUCAAAUGGAGUAGGGUUCGGAGGGCUCGGAGGGGUGGCGUUGAAUCCGCUGCCCCUGAAUUUUGGGGGGUUGCGAUGAGCUUCUCUAAGGGGGAGGUGGUGGACGAGAAGUGGAGGAAACAACAAGUCUUGGAGUUGGAGUUGUAUUUGAAGUGGAUUGAGCUGGUGCAGGAUCAGAUUAAGGUGGCCAUAGAGGAAUUGGAGGCAAUGGAGAGUUGACUUGACGGAAAGUUUGUUGUGGCUACUGGUAAUAAGUGUUUGGAAUUUUUGGUUGAUUAGUAUUAAUUUUUCUGGUGCAUGAUAUUUAGUUGAUAUUUGUAGAGAAUGGUUGCAGCAUUUGAGUUUCCUGGUUUAUCGUUUAUUUUACAGAAAAUAUCAGUUCCACAAUAAGAUUUUCUAACAUCAUGUUUAGCCCAAGUUCAUUAAUCUGAGAAGCCAAAUUGGAGGAAUUGAUGCAAUAACUGGGGAUGAAUGUUUAGUUUAACAUGAUUUCAGUGACUGCUUUUCCUAUGCUAAUGUAAUUUCAAUAUCCCAAUAUGCCUUUUUUAGAGUUUAUUGUGCAUACAUUUAUCUUGUUGUUUAGAUAUACAUGUCUGAGGUUAUAUAUGAAUUCUAAUCAAUCAUAUAUUUUUGGUCAGACAAUUCUGUAUGGUUUCCCUUAAACCAUUUGGUUUUUUAGUUUGGGAGGUCAGGCAGAUGGCCUUUUUGCAGUGCCAGUAAUUUCUUUUUAUGUAAAAAGUACUUGCCUGGAGCAAUUUUAGGUCUGCUGCGUACCUGCUGAAAGUGGAGAAGAGGCAAGAGGAGAAAAGUUAUGAAAAGUUUGACUUUAUGCGAUGGAGUGAAGUGAAUUUAAAUUGGGCUCUUUGCCUUGGUUCGGCUUUCCUUACCAAUGGUCAUUUCAUGCAAGUCAGAUUUGUGGGCAUCUCCCAGUCAGGAAUUCAGAGCCACUUACUAGGUAGACUAAUUGAAGCCCAGGUACUUUUCCUUAGAUUUUGUGCUUUGGUUUGAACAGAGUAUAAGAAGGUUUCCCUUAGGGGUAGAUGUCACUUACUGCAGAAACCAAAAUCUGGGUAUCUCCAUCCCUGAGUAAGUGGCAGUUGUUGGACUGAGCUUCUAAAAGAAUCACAGGGAUUGCCAUUGGGUAAGUAGAUGUCACUUACUGCAGAAACCAAAAUCUGGGUAUCUCCAUCCCUGAGUAAGUGGCAGUUGUUGGACUGAGCUUCUAAAAGAAUCACAGGGAUUUCCAUUGGAACGGGACUCCACUGGUAUCAUUUCUUUAUGAGAGGGGAUGGGGUCAAAGCUUUUCUUUCUUUGGUGGUUUUCCAGGCCCGGGCAAAGAGGUUGUAGAGGAAGAAAGGAUUGGAUGAAGACUACAAAGAGCAUUUUUUUUGAGAUGUUAAAAGGAAUUUCUUUUGGACUAUUUUAUAUUUGAUUUGUAGGUUAAAAAAAGAAGACAUCUAUUCAAAAGGAAGAACGAACAUAAUGAGGGCUGAAUGUUGUGUUUUUUUGUUUUUAAAAUGAUGAUGGAAGUCAAUUGGAAUUUUAUGGAUAAGGUGUAUCUUUUUGGA